rnacentral:rRNA from 1 species
CGGUUAGACUAAAGGACCUAAUUAUGUGAUUAAGGUAAAAAGGUGGUUAAAUAUUAAAUAUGAAUAGCUUUCUAACUUUUUAUAAAAAAGUGAAAUUUGAAUAUAAGUAAGUAAAUCAAAAAUGGCUAUUAGCGCGUUGAACCCACUAUAACUUUGAGGGAAACUGGGAUUUGAUACCCCAUUAUUCUUAGUUGUAAAUAAAUAUUAAAUUUACCAGAGCACUAUGAACGUUAUAAAAAUUUAAAACUCAAAGAGCUUGGCGGUGUUUUAGACCACUUAGGGGAACCUGUCUCAUAAUCGAUAAUCCACGGUAUACCUAACCUUUAAUUGCAUUACAGCUUGUACACCGUUGUCAUCAGGUAACUUUUUAGAAAAUUUAAGUUAGCAACAAAAUUUAUUAAUAAAUUUAAAUGUCAAAUCAAGGUGCAGCCAAUGAAAAGGGGAGGAUGGGUUACAAUUAAAACUUAUAAAAUGGAUCAAACAAUGAAACUUGUUUGUGAAGGAGGACUUAAAAGUAAAGUUAUGUAUAAAGAUAUCUUGAAUUAGGCUCUGAAAUGUGUACAAACCCCCC